rnacentral:rRNA from 1 species
CUUUUCUGUGAUUUUACUGUGCGCUUUUACUAUGCAAGGAAAGAGGGAAAAUAAAUCGCCUCGCAGGCACGCUCCCGUCUCUCUCGAGCGCGCUCUCUCUCUCUCGAUCCUCUCUCGGCCGCCGGCCGAUUCCGGUCGUUGCCGGUGGUCUCCGGCCCCGCCCAGCACUCCCUCGUGUUCUUCUCGAUCCGGCCUAUCUUCCCCACCAACUCGAUUCGACGCUCGCCUCCUCCUUGUGCGCCCGUGGUUAACCCUAGCCGCCACUGUGGCAAGCGCACGGCGCCGUCAUGGACGCCGGCGCGGCUCCGGCGCCCCUGGUGCUCAUCCUUGACACCUCCUGCCCGCUCUCGCGCGUCACCGAGGUCGUCGGCCUGGAGUCAUGCCCCGACGCACGUGGCUGCCCGCAGCAGGCCAUCCGGGCCGCCUACGCCAUUGAGUCCGCCAAGCCGUCCCAGUCCGUCCUCGUCUCUGUCUCUGGUCGGUGACAGCAUGUAGUUGGAGUGGAGGAUCUUGGAUUUGAGUACGUGAGGGAGGAGGAGCAAGACAAAAUUGAUAAGGCAAGAAUUGUUUUCCUCUCAAUUCAGGUUUCUGUUGCACCUCCAAAAUUCUAACUCAGAUAUAAGAGUGUUUAGAUCACAUUUAAGGGUGUUUGUUUAACCUGAACUUGGUGUUGGGCAUUGGUUCCUCAUGAAUUUUACCUACCUCAUCAGUAUCAUGUGAUCUAUUUAUCCAAAUCUAUGCCGUGGUCUCCUAUUUCUCUUCUGCGUAUUGGAAGAACCAAAUUUUGCUCCUGAAAAUGCAAUAUUGGUUUUAAGAAUUGAGAAAUUGAAAGAUUUGUGUGCUAUCAAAGUACCUUGUUAAGUGAUUUGCUUAAAAUGUGUAAGUUGGCAGCUCUUCAUUCUUUAACUGUCAUAUUUCACUCUUGUUUAAAAGUUGUUAACUGAUAGCAGUGCCUUCUCUAUUGUUGUUUUCCGAGACGCAAGACUCUUAUGCUCACGAAGAAGAAGCUUGUUCCAUCACAAUCUUGGAAGAUGGGAAGUCUAGAGUAGACAGAGAGGAGCCUUGUCUUCUUAUGAACAUGGAUAGGUUGUCGUAUAACAGAGGGUGAGAGCUAAGCUACUUCCAAUGGUAUGAACUAGUGAUAUAGAAGAGAACUAAUGCCUCCUAUGAGCGGUGAAUUCCACUAUUGAUGCAUCUUCGUUCUAUUUUACUUCAGAGUUGAGAGAAGAUGCAGAAAUGUCAUAUUCGUGUUCGUUCAUAAAACUUGAGGAGUUUGCUGAUACUUCAUCUGGGAGUGGUGUCCCUUCGUCAGUAGCAGCAGCAACAAUCCCAGAAUUGCCACGGCAGCAUGCUGAAGUCUGCAAUUUGAUGUUCUUCUGUUGACGUGGGCUUUUAGUCAGAUUGUUGUGCAGCAGGGUUGACUUUUUGUGAGUGAAGAAACUUGAUAUUGGAGUAACGAGUCACCUUCAUACGACAUGAGUCAAGUCCGGGAUAUGAGGGGCAGUACGAUGCAUACAUAGUGGCUAAGAAUGCCAAGUGACCAGUGGGAUGCCCUUCAAGAAAAUUCAUCUCCAUUAAGGACCUACAAGAGAUCAAACUUUUUGAUUCCAGGGAAAGAACUUCUACUUUUAUUGUACUCUCUGGUUGUUGUGCAAAUACGUGAACAAUUUUGUCACCUUGUAGAUUUCAAAUUAGUGAUUGCAAAGCCUUAUUGAAUUGCCGCUUUUGAAUGGCAGGGACUGGUGAAGCACAAAGAGUGACACAUGGAAAUGGCGUGCAACCUACUUACACAUAGAAUAUUUCAAGAGAUUGUUCCUUCAAAUGCUGGAAAUGUUCUUGGUACCGAAGAUAACGUUCUGACAAAGAAGCGGGUAUCACUUAUUGAUCACCAGGUGAUGAAUAUAUUGGUGGGGAUGCAAGAAAUGUACCAUAUUUUUCACCAUUCCCAUAUGGCUAUCGUACUUCAACACCUAUGGAAGAAGAUGAUGAGCAGCCAAAUACUUCUAGUUCCUAUUGUAAAUAAAGCAAAAGAAGUUUUGUGGCAAAGAUGCAGACCGCAAGACCAAACUAAGCCUUCCAUGAGUCUCUCAUUUUUUGAAGCUCUCACAGAUAAGUUAAGGCUUUCGUAGCAUGUUAUGUAGGAAAGUUAUAAUCAUUGAUUAGAAAAGCCUCAAAUGCUCCUCUCACCCUGGUGAAAAGUUGUGAAUGAUGUUCUAUAGAGAUUUUUAAUUUAAGUGCAUGGUUGUCAAUGAGCUUAAUCCUUUGUAAAUCCAACAAGAUUCUAUUGAUGCAGUUCUAUUGAGUAUAUUCUUUCUUUUUUGACAUCUGGCGCUCAUCUGGGUUGCAUAUUAACGUUCAAAACUCUAACGGCAGGAUUUGUGCGCGCACAGGUUUGCUCAGGAGGCGCGCUAAGGGCGCGCCCCAGCCUCUAGUAUGGCAUUCAUCGUCGAGCCUGAAUCCAUAGCUCAGGUUCAAAAGGACCUAGACGCCGCGAAAGAAACUCAACGGUAUGCGGAAUCGCAACAUCAGGCCGGUCUUCGGGUUCUAAAACGAAGCCAGGAGGAGACCAACAAACUGAAGGCGGUGAACCAGCAGCAGGCCGAAAAACUAGAGGGUAUAAAAACUCAACUGGCGCAGGUUCGCGGAGAAAACCAAAGUUUGAGAAGCGGCAUUCAGUCUCCUGACUGGCCGGCCCGGAGAGGAGGUCCAAUCCUUUGGUGGGAACGUGUUGAAGGAACUGUCCGUGGUUCAUGAGAAAGCUCGAAAGGCUAUGAAGAACAUGGUGAAGGCAUUAUGGCCAACCGACGUGGCGCCGGGCAAUAUGGCCGAACUGGCGAAUCGUUAUAAGGGAGCUCGGCGGCGCUUCGAAUUAUGGAAAAUAUCAUCCUGUUCGGAGGGGGCGCGAGAAGCAUGGGCUAUGGUGAAAACCUGGUUCGGGAAACUCGAGCCAGAGCAUAUGGCUCGAGUCGGGCCAGUAGGGCUGGAUGGGCAAGAAAUACCCCUUCAUUUGGUGUAUGACCAAGUGGUGCCCGCAGCUCGAUUGUCCCAGCAGGAUUGUGCAUUAGAUAGCAUAAUAGACAAUGUAGACAAAGAAUUAUGCGUUUGAUUCUAUGUAUCUAUGUACUUUACAUAAAACGGCCUCGAUCCAAACUGUAAAACGUUGUCUUAACCGGCCAUCGGCUUCUGCCUCCCCGACCGAUGAUCGGGGAGUGUUUUGUACUAUGUGACCCAAGGUAAACAGGAAAUCACUUUCGGUAACCAGGCAGUCCGGCCUUAAGGUGCGAAUAGACAAAAAUGUGUGCGGAGAGUUACGUUAUAUUACUGUUUAACGUAAGAAACAUCUUCUGAAGUAAAUAGUUCCUC